AUUGAACGCUAGCGGCAGGCCUAACAAAUGCAAGUCGAGCGGAGCGGCGGCAGGGAGAGUAAUGCCUAGGAAUCUGCCUGGUAGGGGGGGAUAACGUACGGAAACGGGCGCUAAUACCGCAUACUAUAAGAUGAGCAUAGGGCGGAUUAGAUAGUUGGUGGGGUAAAGGACUACAAAGUCGACGAUCCGUAACUGGUCUGAGAGGAUGAUGAGUCACACUGGAAUGGAGACACGGUCCAGACUCCUACGGGAGGCAGCAGGUGGGAAUAUUGGACAAUUGUCGAAAGCCUGAGCCAGCCAUGCCGCGUGUGUGAAGAAGGUCUUCGGAUUGUAAAGCACUUUAAGUUGGGAGGCGUUACCAACAGAAUAAGCACCGGCUAACUUCGUGCCAGCAGCCGCGGUAAUUC
rnacentral:rRNA from 1 species